AGUGAACGCUGGCGGUAGGCCUAACACAUGCAAGUCGAACGGCAGCACAGUAAGAGCUUGCUCUUACGGGUGGCGAGUGGCGGACGGGUGAGGAAUACAUCGGAAUCUACUUUUUCGUGGGGGAUAACGUAGGGAAACUUACGCUAAUACCGCAUACGACCUACGGGUGAAAGCAGUGGAUCUUCGGACCUUGCGCGAUUGAAUGAGCCGAUGUCGGAUUAGAUAGUUGGCGGGGUAAAGGCCCACCAAGGCGACGAUCCGUAGCUGGUCUGAGAGGAUGAUCGGCCACACUGGAACUGAGACACGGUCCAGACUCCUACGGGAGGCAGCAGUGGGGAAUAUUGGACAAUGGGCGCAAGCCUGAUCCAGCCAUACCGCGUGGGUGAAGAAGGCCUUCGGGUUGUAAAGCCCUUUUGUUGGGAAAGAAAAGCAGCAGGUUAAUACCCCGCUGUUCUGACGGUACCCAAAGAAUAAGCACCGGCUAACUUCGUG
rnacentral:rRNA from 1 species